GAUUAACGCGAAGAACCUUACCUACCCUCGACAUGGUCGGAAUCCCGCUGAGAGGUGGGAGUGCUCGAAAGAGAACCGGCGCACAGGUGCUGCAUGGCUGUCGUCAGCUCGUGUCGUGAGAUGUUGGGUUAAGUCCCGCAACGAGCGCAACCCUUGUCCUUAGUUGCUACGCAAGAGCACUCUAAGGAGACUGCCGGUGACAAACCGGAGGAAGGUGGGGAUGACGUCAAGUCCUCAUGGCCCUUAUGGGUAGGGCUUCACACGUCAUACAAUGGUCGGAACAGAGGGUUGCCAACCCGCGAGGGGGAGCUAAUCCCAGAAAACCGAUCGUAGUCCGGAUUGCACUCUGCAACUCGAGUGCAUGAAGCUGGAAUCGCUAGUAAUCGCGGAUCAGCAUGCCGCGGUGAAUACGUUUCCCGGGCCUGUACACACCGAAUC
rnacentral:rRNA from 1 species